rnacentral:rRNA from 1 species
GACAGAGGGGCCGAGCGUUAGGCGGAAUCACUGGGCUUAAAGCGUGUGUAGGCGGGCCGUUAAGUAUCUUGUGAAAUCCCCCGGCUCAACCGGGGAAUGGCUGGAUAUACUGGCGGUCUUGAGCAAUUCAGGGGCAGAUGGAACAGACGGUGGAGCGGUGAAAUGCGUAGAUAUCUGGAGGAACACCGGUGGCGAAGGCGGCAUCCUGGACCAUUACUGACGCUGAGGAGCGAAAGCCAGGGGAGCAAACGGG